rnacentral:tRNA from 1 species
CGGGGACUGGCGCAAUUGGCUAGCGCACACGCUUUGGGAGCGUGGGGCUGUGGGUUCAAGUCCCACGUCCCCGACCA